GAAAAACUGAAAAAGCAAAUUUUAAAGGUUAAAAGCCCCGGUAGGCCGCAGCAAAAAGCCAAAUCAAGAGUUUCAUUUCUGCAAUCCAAAUGGAAACCGAAGGAAAAUUUUACAGAAUGUGAGACAAAAAGAAGCCCCAGUGUGUUAAAACUUCUCGAAACCGAAGGAGAUGAUACUACCCUCGAUGCCCAAAACGGAGAAAACCCCGAAACCUUCCUGCUCAGUCAAGCCAAGAUUUAAUGCCUACCCUUCCUGCUCAGUCAAGCCAAGAUUUAAUGCCUACCCUUCCUGCUGAACUCAUCACAGAAAUCUUGUUAAAGCUUGCAGUUAAAUCCCUCUUGCAAUUCAGAAGGGAUCACGAAGGCAGCAACAACAGACUGAAGUAACUCAGAUAUAAACAAUCCUUUGACUAAUAACCUGUAAGAGGUACAUCCUAUGCAUUUUUCUUAAGGGCUGUUAUAAUUCCGGUCCAUAUUGCUUGGGGAUCUUGUUAGUCAUUGAACUAUUUUCAAGAAACGAUAAUCUUUCGCAAGAGCAGUUAUUUUGGUUGUAUUACCUGAUGUCUUGAAAUGCUGUGUGCUCUGCAACUUUAGGAGUUAUUCUUUUUCUUGUCUGGAAAAUCAAUAUCUUUGCCCUUUUCUAUUCUCAUCCUUUUCAUUAAAUGUGAAUUUUUAAUAUUCUACUCUUGCAGAAGAGAAAAGAUACCUGCAGCUGAAAUAUAGACCAAAUAGUUAAAUGCAAAAAAUGUGUCUUUUAGACAAAAGUUUGUUGCGUGGCCAUAGCUAAUUAUUACUCCCUCUGUCCCAAAAAUGAUAUACUUUUUGGAUUUCAAGAGUCAAACGAUUUGUUCUUUAAAAAUGACUUUCUCAUAUACCUUCUUUAAAUAUUUUGAAUUGUUAGUUAUUGUGACACAUAGUACCCUUUAUGUAGUUUCCAAUUAUAUAAAUUUUAUUUAAAAAAAAAAAACUUAAAGAUUCUAUGUCCGAAUUUAUGGUCAAAGUUGAGAAGUUUGACUUUUGAAAUCCGAAAAGUACAUCCUUUUUGGGACGGAUGGAGUACCAUACAUUUUCACUAUAGUUUGUGACUCUUGAGAUUAAAUUACUGUAAAUGGGUAAGAUAUUAGGAGUUCCGGAAGGUUUCGCACUAAAUAUUUUGUUAUCUAGUACCCCUUUCCUUGAAAAAUAAUGCUUACUUUCCCAAGUGCCUACUGUUGCAUGUCAAUUAAAAUGGGAUAUAUUGGUUUAUAUGUGAAAUUAUGUUUUCAAAUGUCAUAAUGUUCUUAGGUAAAGCUCUUUCAGUUAUUCUGGAUCCACACGAGUGUUUACAGUUUUGGGUUCAGUUUUGAGCCACUUAAAAUGUCUUCCAAAAUAAGAUAUUGAAUUGGGUCUUAAGGUCAUAUCUUCAUUGAUUGCAAUUGAAUGAUCAUUCUCAAAUGUGUUUUUCUGGACUGGCUCAAGCUUGUUCAAUCAUAGUCAACUAGAUUUAAUUCCCUUUUUAUGUCCAAUUCAUAUGUUCACAUUUGAAUUGAUAGAGUUUGCUAAUACUGAAAUUUCACGCCAAUAUAAUCAAAUUUUCAGUACAAUGACAUGAAAGAACUAGUAUUGAGAUUCUGUCUUUUAUUGGACCUGCAAUGUACUCAUAGGAAAUGUAUUCAGAGACUGUGCAACAAAAAAGGUGACAUCACUUGUAAAUCUGUUAUAAGGUUGGUAUAUUUUAAACACUCUGCUAUAAUUAGAAGAUAUUUCUCUAGCCUCAAGUGAAAUUGAGAUGUUGCUUUCCUUCUAUCAGUUUUUUUCACCAAACUAUACCCUUCAACCUGAAAGGAGCAACCCUGAUGUAAUGGCAAUUGAUAUCAGGCAAGCAUGGCCCAAGAGUGGAUAUUAGGGAUCCUUACUUUUUCCUGGCCUUUGCUGCAGUUGAGCGUCAACUUCCUGCAACCAGAGUAUGAUGAUUGUGCUGUUGCUUGCAGUGGGAAUCUAGCAAAUGUAAAUGUGAGGAUUUGAGUUCACAGGCUGUUUUCAUCACCUUGUCCUAUAAUCUCAUAUAGGGGUGGCAAAAUGGUUAAAAGAAAAUAGUUAACCACCCAUAUUAUCCACUAAAAAAAGGGUUGGAUAAUGAACUUUUUAA